CUACGUAGGGGGCAAGCGUUGUCCGGAUUUACUGGGUAUAAAGGGAGCGCAGGCGGAUUCGUAAGUCAGGGGUGAAAUCCUACAGCUUAACUGUAGAACUGCCUUUGAUACUGCGAGUCUUGAGAUCGGAAGAGAGAGAUGGAAUUCCAGGUGUAGUGGUGAAAUACGUAGAUAUCUGGAAGAACACCAAUGGCGAAGGCAGUCUCUUGGUCCGUAUCUGACGCUGAGGCUCGAAAGCGUGGGGAGCAAACAGGAUUAGAAACCCUUGUAGUCC
rnacentral:rRNA from 1 species